UUAGUGCUGAAGAAAAGCGUUAACACUAUAAGCUAACUUUAUAAUUUCCCAGUUUCAACUAUCAGUGUAUCGAAUGAAUGAUUAUCUACAGAUGUUCUAUUUCAACACACUUAGUUCAAUUGGCAAUUGCGUUUCACCUAACAUAAUCAAUAUUAGCUUCAUCUAUGAUGUUGGUUACAUUCAGCAAUUCUUUUAUGGAUUUAUUGCCUUGUUCUUGAGUACUCGAAUAUAAAAUCCCGCAAAACCAUAAAAUGUGUUUAAGAAAUUUCAAGUAGAUUUAAUACGAAUUUAACAUUUUACUCUCGAGCAUUGUAAAAUCAUUGCUGAGUUAAUUUUUAGUGGAGCUUGUAAAUGAGGUGAAGAAGUUACUCCCUUGAAGUUUGCCAAAAAAAAUAAUGAUAAUGAUAAUAAUUAACACAUAGAACCAAGCUCGCGAGGACUCAAUCCGUGGACGUAUCAACUAAAGCUUUCAAUUUUUUUAGUACAAAAAUAUUGACUGCAAUAUUUUUACACCAUCACAGUCUUGAUUUAGCAAAAAGUUGCUUUUGAACUAGAAUGUUGGCUAAAUAAAUGUGUUGCCUGAUUGUACAUGAUAUAUUAUCAGCUUUGUCAAGGGAAAAACCGAGACCGAAGAAAGUUAAAACUGAGAGAAAUUCUAGAUAUGCUACUAUAAGUGCUCUUUGUCAUGAGAGAAACAUGAUUCUACGUGUCUGAUUCACGCAAAGGAUGCAUCAAUAUACCUUCUUUUAAUUACAGGAUGAUGCAUUUUUAAUUUGUUAUUGUUGUGAAUUCUAUGUCAACUGUUUGCUAAUAUAGGCGGCGCAGAGAUAUGAAAACCAAACCGUGACAAUACACCUAAGCUAAAAGGUCAACGCACGCCUAAACUAGCAGCUCAACUCAUGAUUGGACUAAUAAUUUAAAACUAAAACUAAAACCUAAACCUAUUUUACAAAUAAAACUCAUAAUUAGGCUAACAACCCUACCCAUCAACUAACGACUUGACGGUAUGCUAUUCCUUCUUUUUUUUAAAGCUUCACUACCAUCGAAAUAUAUAUAACAGUAGUAAAAUUGUAAACUUUUAUUUUUAUACCAUAGUAGUAUGGCUAUGAUUGGAAGGUUGUAGUGUCAGUCAAGUUGGAAAAACUGUUGGCACUUUUUUUCUGAAUCAAUGGAAUUCUUAUCAAACACAUGCAAACGUAUAAAGAAGACUUGAAUAGAUAAUCUUUGAAUUCAAACAAAUCCUAGUCAACUGAACAACGCAUCUACCUCAGCAGUCCUUGGGAAAUGUAUAAAUAGGCAAGCAUUAAACUUUUAUAUAUAAAACCAUCAAGAUCUCUAUUUUUAACUCGGUGGUUUCUUUCACAAGACUUACUUCAAGAACGACAACACAUCCUGACAGUUAAUUCAUUAAUACUAAUACUAUCGAGGAUUCUGUCAUCCAAGUGGAAUGAACAUGGGCAUCAAAGGAAUGUUUCCUCAAAGUGAGAACUAUAGUGUUGCAAGAGCGAAUACUUGGUCGCUUAGAACAAAACGAAUUACUGUCAUUAGGAUAUGCUCAAAAGUGUGGCGCUAUAUCUUGUAUCUAUUGCUACGUUCAUUCAUUGAUCCAACAGUAUGGGUAUAGAAAGAAGACGAUAAGCAGGAGUUGCGCAAACGAAGUUAUGGAGUUUCUUGCAUGCAUGCAUGUUUUGGCAUAAAGCUGGUACUUCGAAAUAUGCCUAUGAAAUCUCUACCUGCUUUGCACCCUAAAUAUAACGUGUCGUCUUGUAGCUGCAUGUGAAUUACAACGAUUGAUAGAUGAAAAACAAAUCGACUUGUUGCCCAUUUCAUCGUUUCAAACGACUGGUAGUGUUGCUUGUGUCCAUACCCAUGCUGUGUCCAUAUCCAUACUAUGUCCGUGUGUUUUGCUUUAUUACACUUGGUCAAAGAAAUCUAUAUGAUGUUCUUUACGAAACCCACAAAGUCAUUAGGGAUAUCAUUCGAACAGAAGGGUAUGUAUGCAAAAUACACUACAAGGACUAAGCCCAAGCACCGUAUUGUUUCAGUCUCGAAGUAAUUCUAUGUACCCGUGCAUUGGAGAUGCGUUUAAUUAACAUGGUGCGAUUGGACUUGAGUGAGCUGACAGCACUGUAUGAGGGUCUGUUUGCCAAGAUUCAGGACUUGUUGAAAGAGUUAUUACAACUACAACUAUAAUUAUAACUACAACUAUAACUAUAACUGCAACUAUAACUACAACGAUAAGAACUAUCACUACUCUGAAGACAACGAUGUGUUUUCUCAAGAUGAUAACGGAUCUAGCUUCGCCAUCAAUAAGUAUGAGACAAAGGAGUCCAUCUUUGAUGAAACAUCCAUUUGCCUGUUGUACAUUUUUGCAGGACAACCAGCCUGAGCACAAGAGACAUGGUGUACUAGACUUUGUGCGGAAUGUCUACUUCAAAACUUGCAUCUUUAUAUCUGAUAUAUAGAGAUAUAGAGAUAUAGAGAGAGGCUGAUGAUUUAUAAACACAAACGAUAAGACUUGUAACAUGAAGUUUGUCGAAAAAGUCAAUCUUUAAAUUCCUUUCUGAACCUCUCUGUUAUGUCAGUGCUUCGGUAUUAUGCUUUAAUGCAGUCACUUGAGGCGUUGUCCUAAUAGGUGCAAAGUUACCGUAUAUUUAGGUUUCAUGUUUGUGAUUACUGGAGAACGACUGUGAAGAGACCAACCGUAUCGUGUUUUUUCCAAUUGUGAUCUUCCAAUGCUUAAUAAAUACGAAAUCUUAUUUCGAUUUACAGGCUGGGCAUUCACGAAACAUAGCGUUUUUACAUUUCUACAGG